ACUACGGGAGGCAGCAGUGGGGGAUAUUGCACAAUGGGGGGAACCCUGAUGCAGCGACGCCGCGUGGGUGAAGAAGCGCCUCGGCGCGUAAAGCCCUGUCAGCAGGGAAGAAAAUGACGGUACCUGAAGAAGAAGCCCCGGCUACCUACGUGCCAGCAGCCGCGGUAAUACGUAGGGGGCAAGCGUGAUCCGGAUUUACUGGGUGUAAAGGGGGCGCAGCCGGCGAUGCAAGCCAGGAGUGAAAGCCCGGGGCCCAACGCCGGGACUGCUCUUGGAACUGGGUGGCUGGAGUGCAGGAGGGGCAGGCGGAAUUCCUGGUGUAGCGGUGAAAUGCGUAGAUAUCAGGAGGAACACCGGUGGCGAAGGCGGCCUGCGGGACUGCAACUGACGUUGAGGCCCGAAAGCGUGGGGAGCAAACAGGAUUAGAUACCCCUGUAGUC
rnacentral:rRNA from 1 species